CCCUCGCCGGCCGAGACCCACCCCCGGCCCUCCCCUGGCGGCAUGGAGGGGCCCCGCUCCUGACGGCCGCGCCGCCGCCUCGGCCCCCGCCCCGCCCCACGGCCCCUCCCGCCCGCCCCCGCUCGCAUGUCCGCGCCGCCCUAGCCGAGGAUGCUGAGGAUGAAGCUGCCGCUGAAGCCGACGCACCCUGCCGAGCCGCCGCCCGAGGUGGAGGAGCCCGAGGCGGACGCGCGGCCGGGCGCGAAGGCGCCGCCGCGCCGUCGCCGCGACUGCCGCCCUCCGCCGCCACCGCCGCCGCCGCCGCCCGCGGGCCCGCCGCGGGGCCCCCAGCCGCCGCAGCCGCCGCUGCCCCGGGGGCUCGGGCCGCCUGUUGCUGGCGGGGCGGCGGCGGGGGCGGACAUGCCGGGCGGCGGCGGGGGACCCGCGGCGGCGCUGCGCGAGCAGGAACGAGUGUACGAGUGGUUCGGGCUGGUGCUGGGCUCCGCGCAGCGCCUGGAGUUCAUGUGCGGGCUGCUGGACCUGUGCAACCCGCUGGAGCUGCGCUUCCUCGGCUCGUGCCUGGAGGACCUGGCGCGCAAGGACUACCACUACCUGCGCGACUCGGAGGCCAAGGCCAACGGCCUCUUGGACCCAGGGCCUCUGGCUGACUUCCGAGAGCCCGCCGUGCGCUCGCGCCUCAUCGUCUACCUGGCGCUGCUGGGCUCGGAGAACCGGGAGGCUGCCGGCCGCCUUCACCGCCUCCUGCCCCAGGUGGACUCGGUGCUCAAGAGCCUGCGCGCGACCCGGGGCGAGGGUUCGCGGGGCGGCGCGGAGGACGAGCCAGGCGGCCAGGACGGCAGCGGCGAGCAGGAUGCCGAGAAGGACGGCUCCGGCCCGGAAGGCGGCGGCGCCGAGCCCGGAGCCGGAGGCGGGCUCGGCUUCAGGGCCCAGGAGGAACUGCUGCUGCUCUUCACCAUGGCUUCGCUGCACCCGGCUUUCUCCUUCCACCAGCGGGUCACCCUGAGGGAGCACCUGGAGAGGCUCCGCACCGCGCUCCGCGGGGGCCCCGAGGAAGCGGAGGUGGAGUCGUGCAACUUUGCCGGCUCCAGGGCCCAGAAUGACACUGCUCAUGGUGAUUACUUGCAAAGUAAUGAGACUGGUUUGAUAGAACAAGCCCCAAUACCUCAGGAUGGACUUACCAUGGCACCUCAUAGAGCUCAGCGAGAAGCUGUACACAUCGAGAAGAUAAUGUUGAAAGGAGUCCAGAGAAAAAGGGCUGACAAAUAUUGGGAGUAUACUUUCAAAGUAAAUUGGUCUGAUCUUUCGGUCACAACAGUAACAAAAACUCACCAAGAACUACAGGAAUUCCUACUGAAGCUUCCAAAGGAAUUGUCUUCAGAGACUUUUGACAAGACCAUUUUAAGAGCCCUGAAUCAGGGUUCCUUGAAAAGGGAGGAGAGGCGACACCCUGACCUGGAGCCCAUCCUAAGGCAGCUAUUUUCAACUUCAUCACAAGCUUUUCUACAGAGUCAAAAAGUACACAGCUUUUUUCGGUCCAUAUCGUCAGACUCUCUACACAGUCUCAGUAACUUACAAUCCUCUCUGAAGACCUCUAAGAUACUAGAACAUUUAAAAGAAGACAGCUCAGAAGCUUCAAGUCAAGAAGAAGAUGUGUUGCAGCACACCAUAAUCCACAAGAAACAUACUGGGAAAAGUCCCAUUGUGAACAGUAUUGGUACGAGCUGCUCCCCAUUGGAUGGGCUUACCAUGCAAUAUUCUGAACAGAAUGGAAUUGUGGAUUGGAGGAAGCAAAGCUGCACCACCAGUCAGCACCCAGAGCACUGUGUGAACCUAGCUGAGCAGCAUUCUGCAGAAAAACGGAGUUUAUCUUCAUUAAAUAAGAAGAAAGGAAAGCCACAAAUAGAAAAGGAGAAAAUUAAGAAAACGGACAACAGGCUGAAUAGUAGAAUAAAUGGUAUUAGGCUGUCCACUCCUCAGCAUGCCCAUGGUGGUACUGUGAAAGAUGUGAAUUUGGACAUUGGAUCUGGACAUGACACAUGUGGAGAAACAUCUUCAGAGAGUUACAGUUCUCCGUCUAGUCCACGACAUGAUGGAAGAGAAAGUUUUGAAAGUGAAGAAGAAAAAGACAGAGACACAGACAGCAAUUCUGAGGAUUCUGGGAAUCCAUCAACAACCAGGUUUGCAGGUUAUAGUUCUAUCAACCAGACUGUCACUGUCAAGCCACCUGUUCAGAUUGCUUCACUAGGAAAUGAGAAUGGAAACAUUUUAGAAGAUCCCUUGAACUCGCCCAAGUAUCCACAUAUUCCUUUUAUGCCAACUUUACACUGUGUCAUGCACAACGGUGCCCAGAAGUCUGAAGUUGUCAUUCCUCCACCCAAAUCUGCAGAUGGCAAAACAAUAGGGAUGCUUGUUCCUAGUCCUGUUGCUAUUUCUGCAAUAAGGGAGUCCACAAAUUCAACCCCUGUUGGAAUCCUUGGGCCAACAGCUUCUACUGGAGAAUCAGAAAAGCACCUUGAAUUGCUGGCUUCCCCUUUACCAAUUCCAUCAACUUUCCUUCCACAUAGUAGUACUCCUGCUUUGCACCUAACAUUUCAGAGGCUAAAAUUGCCACCACCACAGGGAUCUUCUGAGAGUUGCACAGUUAAUAUACCACAACAACCAACUGGAAGUCUGAACAUCGGAUCACCAAACACUGCCUUUAUUCCUGUUCAUAACCCAGGUAGUUUUCCAGGAUCUCCUGUGGCUACUACGGACCCCAUCACAAAAUCUGCAUCCCAAGUGGUAGGACUAAAUCAAAUGGUGCCUCAAAUUGAGGGAAACACAGGGACAGUCCCUCAGCCUACCAAUGUGAAGGUAGUUCUUCCAGCAGCUGGUCUCUCAGCUGCACAGCCACCAGCUUCCUAUACCUUGCCAGGCUCUCCCCUUGCUGCCAGUGUGUUACCCACCCCGAAUUCCAAUGUGCUCAACACAGCAGCCACUUCUGCCCAGCCAGCAAGUGCAGGCAUCAGCCAGGCCCAGUCCACUGUUCCUCCUGCAGUUCCUACCCACACCCCAGGCCCUGCCCCAAGCCCAAGCCCUGCUUUGACACACAGUACUGCGCAGAGCGAGAGCACAUCCUACAUCAGUGCUGUGGGGAACACGAACUCUAAUGGCACAAUAGUGCCACCACAGCAGAUGGGCUCAGGUCCUUGUGGUUCUUGUGGGCGAAGGUGCAGCUGUGGGACCAAUGGAAACCUUCAGCUAAAUAGUUACUAUUAUCCCAAUCCAAUGCCUGGACCAAUGUACCGAGUCCCAUCGUUCUUCACUCUGCCAUCCAUUUGCAAUGGCAGCUACCUCAACCAAGCACAUCAGAGCAAUGGAAACCAACUUCCUUUUUUUCUGCCUCAGACUCCAUAUGCAAAUGGACUGGUGCAUGACCCAGUCAUGGGGAGCCAAGCCAACUAUGGCAUGCAACAAAUGGCAGGAUUUGGGAGAUUCUAUCCCGUAUAUCCAGCACCUAAUGUAGUUGCCAACACCAGUGGUUCGGGGCCCAAGAAGAAUGGGAAUGUCUCAUGUUACAAUUGUGGUGUAAGCGGACACUAUGCACAGGACUGUAAGCAGUCAUCCAUGGAGGCCAAUCAACAAGGCACUUACAGACUGAGAUACGCACCUCCCCUCCCCCCUUCUAAUGAUACGUUGGAUUCUGCAGACUGAAACAAGUAAAGCUUGCCUACUUAAUACACUCAAGUGUGGGGAGUCAUGGGGUGUGGAGGGGAGGAAAGGAAAGCCAAUAAAUGUGCACCUGUACGUAGCAGAUGUGUCUUCAGCCCACCUUCAAAUUAACAAGAAUGUCUCCAGUGUCCUCACUUCGGUUACUUGCCUGUCCCUUCUCUCCCCACUAUACCAAGUGAUUUCACAGUCAUACCAGCAAUGUACCAGAGACUCCUGAAUCCAUGUCCUGACACCCUCCCAAGAUGAUGUCAUAGAGCUACGGAAGGCAAGGCCAGGGAUGUGCAACCAGAAGAUGCUGGCCCCAGAGGGGGAGGGACCAUCUGGUACUUGUGAGCAUCCUCAUUUGAGCUUGGAAGACACCUGUUUUCAAUUCUGCAUACUGAUGACAAAAGCAUUCUAAGAUUGAGGCAAUGAAGCCACAUGGAGGCAAGCUGUGGCAGUAAUUCAACCCCACAACCCUUCUGUAAUCUUUUUCUGGAAAGAAGCAAAUGUCAAUUCCCCACCCCACAAAAAAGAGCCCAUUUAUUUUCAGAGAAGUUUUUGAGGUGUGUGCUCUGACUUGAAACAUGGUCACUGCAUACCCUCAGCUUCAAGGAGUGAGGCCAGCUGGGACGAGACGGAGGGGCUCUAUAGUCUGAACUGAGUGGCAGGUGUCACCUGGGGACCAAGGGUGUGUUUCAACUGCAGUACUAUUGACCCUUCAACACGACCCUGAGCGCAGAGGGCACACUAUGGUGGACAACCUUGUCUUCCAGCUCCAAUUUGAUCCACUGUGGAAGGUUUCUGCCAGCCUCUCACCAGAAGAAAUUGCUGAUUGGAAAGCAGUGACACCUGGUGGGAGACAAGGACAGUGCAAGCAAGCAGAUGGUAUUUCCUACUGACCAAAUUUAGAGAAAAUUAAACAUAAGAGAGAAAAAAAUUUGUGAUUAUAAACCUGUGCCCCAACCCUUAAAGAAUGCAGGCAGCUGGCCAUAAAAUCAAUUUGAAUAGUCUCAGCCAUUGCCAUCCCAGUGGUGUAGAAAGCCUAUAAAUAUCCUAAAGGCAUUAACAGUACUUCACAGUUUGCAUUGCACUUUCCUCUGUGUUCAUGUGGUCAUCACAGCUGUGAAGGGGAUGGGCUCUUCCUCUCUAUUUUACAGGUUAGGAAUUCAGGGUUCAGGGAGAUUAAAUGCUGCAGACAACGCCAGUGAUGAAGGCUGGACCCCAACUCCAGAUUAAUGCUCACAGCUGCUGCUCUGCUGGAGCAAGUGCAGAGACUUUUAAAGCCAUAGGACCCACAGAACUUGCAGCUUCUGAUUCCUGAGAGGGUUCGGCCACAUCAUGAGCAUACCGGGCACAUAGGCCAUGUCCUAAUCAAGUAGGGUGUCUCUGUCAGGGUUUCUUCAAAUGGUUAUGGGGAAAAGUUUCCACAACUAGGAAACCUUCGGACUUUCAGAAUUAACCUUUAAGCUUAUAUCCAUCUCAGAUAAAUCCAAGGUGCAUCAGUGCUUGUCUAUAUUGAAGGUUUAAACAUGCAUAAAUACCCUUUGUUGGAAAACAGUUUGACUCUACGAAGGCUUUUCUUAUCCCUGAAUGUCUUAAGCAUGAAGUGAAUGUUCAUUAGUUUGAAGACUUCAGAAAUGAAGCAGUGGUGCAAGCAGAAAGGAAGAGUACUGACUGAUAACCGCGAAGCUCUACCAUUCACACACACAUUGUCCCUUUCUGUGCACCCACCUCCUGAAGAAAACACUGAAGGCAAAGAAUGAUGGUGGCAAACUAACCCUCAUGCAGAAACAGGAAAAAUCACCCAAAGGCUUGCUGAGUACUAAGAGUGCCACCAGAUGACUUACUGAAAGCUCCUCCUUGUUAGGUUAAGUUAGGCAUAUUUGUUACAUGGAAAUGGAGUCAUUCUGAACACCUUCAUAAGAUCAAAGAGGCAGUAUCACCUGUGAUUUUUGUUCCCAAAUCUUACCCGCGUGUGACCUUUCUCAGACUGAUUUACAGAAUGGGGAUAAUAACACUGUGGAGUAGUUGCAAGGAUUAAAUCUGUGAAGUAUAUAAGCACUAAAUGCCUGACACAUAGUAGGCUCGUGUGUGUGUGUGUGAGAGAGAGAGAGAGAGAGAGUAGGCUCUGUGUGUGUGUGUGUGUGUGUGUGUGUGUGUGUGUACGUGCGCGCGCCUGCUCACACCCCAGGAAUCAAACCCAGGGCCUCACAUGUACUAGGCAAGGGAUCUACCACUGAGUCAUGCCCCCUAGCCUCCCCAGUAAUUUGUAACAGUAGGUAUCACUUGAAUGCCCAUUAUAGACCAUACACGUGACUCAUUUCAGCCUCACCAUAUCCCUGUGAGGUAGGUCCUAAACCCCAUUUUACAGUUAGGGAUCUUAGGGCACAAAGGCUGAGGUAAGUGUCCAAGGGCACAGAGCACUUAGGCCCAGGUAGCGUGGCUUUAGGAUGCUGCUCCACAUCUUUGUGUCAGGUUAUAGGUCUGUCACUGAGGUACAGUCAGCCUUGCACUGGAAUCAGGCAGGUCCUGCCUUGGACAUCACCAUCUGGAACAACUGGCCUUCCUGGGCCUUUCAUCUCAUCUGAAAGCUACACAUAUUGUCACUAACAGUGGUAGAAGUUGAGUUAUAUGAUCUCUGUAGUUCCUUUGAGUUACAAAUGCUGUGACUUGAAGCUUACUUAUUCACUUUAUUUCUCAAGGUUUAUAAUUCUUUAGCUUCUUUUUGUUUUGAUGGAUUUGAAGUCCUCUGGUGUGGUCAGGAGCACAAACCUCUACUCCUAACAGCUUGAUACAAGACAGUGUUGAGGCCUUGAGAGAAGGCUGAAAUUAGGCCAGUCAGGCACUAGG